UACGUAGGGGGCAAGCGUUGUCCGGAUUUAUUGGGCGUAAAGAGCGUGUAGGCGGCUUCACAGGUCCGCUGUGAAAACUCGAGGCUCAACCUCGAGACGUCGGUUGAAACCGUAUGGCUAGAGUCCGGAAGAGGAGAGUGGAAUUCCCGGUGUAGCGGUGAAAUGCGCAGAUAUCGGGAAGAACACCUAUGGCGAAGGCAGCUCUCUGGGACGGUACUGACGCUGAGACGCGAAAGCGUGGGGAGCAAACAGG
rnacentral:rRNA from 1 species